UACAGAGGUGGCAAGCGUUGUUCGGAAUUACUGGGCGUAAAGGGCGCGUAGGCGGGAUGGCAAGUCGGUCGUGAAAUCCCUCGGCUCAACUGAGGAGAGUCGGCCGAUACUGCUGUUCUUGAGGGAUGCAGAGGAGACUGGAAUUCCCGGUGUAGCGGUGAAAUGUGUAGAGAUCGGGAGGAACACCGGUGGCGAAGGCGGGUCUCUGGGCAUCUCCUGACGCUGAGGCGCGAAAGCGUGGGGAGCAAACGGG
rnacentral:rRNA from 1 species